AAGAUUAUACUUUCAGGGAUCAUUUCUAUAGUUUGUUACUAGAGAAGUCUCUUUGAAUGUAUAGAGCCCUGGAAACCACAAGGAGGAGGCAUAGCGUUUUCUCCUGAGGGUGAAGCCAGCUCUUGGUGUUCCUUUAGUGCAAUUGCCAUUUGCCAUUGAUGAUCGUUCUCUCCCUUUGGGGGAGUAAUAGGGAGAGAACACAUUUAAA
rnacentral:snoRNA from 1 species